GGGAAUUGAACCCCAGCCCUCUCCCAUGCUAAGGGAGCGCUCUACCACUGAGCUAUACCCCCGACGAG
rnacentral:tRNA from 1 species